rnacentral:rRNA from 1 species
UACGUAGGGUGCAAGCGUUAAUCGGAAUUACUGGGCGUAAAGCGUGCGCAGGCGGCUUUGCAAGACAGAUGUGAAAUCCCCGGGCUUAACCUGGGAACUGCAUUCCGAACUGUCAAGCUAGAGUAUGAUAGAGGGUGGUGGAAUUCCGAGUGUAGCGGUGAAAUGCGUAGAUAUUCGGAGGAACACCAGUGGCGAAGGCGACCACCUGGAUCAAUACUGACGCUGAGGUACGAAAGCGUGGGGAGCAAACAGG